AGGACGAACGCUGGCGGCGUGCCUAAUGCAUGCAAGUCGAGCGACGAAUAGGUGAGGGUAACCAAGCCUAUUACGGAGCGGCGAACGGGUGAGUAACACGUGAGCAACCUGCCCCGAAGACCGGGAUAGCCCAGGGAAACUUGGAUUAAUACCGGAUAUCCUCCUUUGAUCGCAUGAUCGUUUGAGGAAAUGCUUUUACGCUUCGGGAUGGGCUCGCGGCCUAUCAGCUUGUUGGUGGGUAACGGCCUACCAAGGCGUCGACGGGUAGCUGGUCUGAGAGGACGAUCAGCCACACUGGGACUGAGACACGGCCCAGACUCCUACGGGAGGCAGCAGCAGGGAAUUUGCGCAAUGGGCGAAAAGCCUGACGCAGCAACGCCGCGUGGGGAUGAAGGCCUUCGGUGUAAACCCUUUAGAGGACGAAUUGACGGUACUCAGAAAAGCCCCGACCAACACGUGCAGCAGCGC
rnacentral:rRNA from 1 species